rnacentral:rRNA from 1 species
GAUGAACGCUGGCGGCGCGCCUAAUACAUGCAAGUCGAACGAAACUUCUUUAUCACCGAGUGCUUGCACUCACCGAUAAAGAGUUGAGUGGCGAACGGGUGAGUAACACGUGGGCAACCUGCCCAAAAGAGGGGGAUAACACUUGGAAACAGGUGCUAAUACCGCAUAACCAUAGUUACCGCAUGGUAACUAUGUAAAAGGUGGCUAUACUACCGCUUUUGGAUGGGCCCGCGGCGCAUUAGCUAGUUGGUAGGGUAAAGGCUUACCAAGGCAAUGAUGCGUAGCCGAAUUGAGAGGUUGAUCGGCCACAUUGGGACUGAGACACGGCCCAAACUCCUACGGGAGGCAGCAGUAGGGAAUCUUCCACAAUGGGCGAAAGCCUGAUGGAGCAACGCCGCGUGGGUGAAGAAGGUCUUCGGAUCGUAAAACCCUGUUGUUAGAGAAGAAAGUGCGUGAGAGUAACUGUUCACGUUUCGACGGUAUCUAACCGGAAAGCCACGGCUAACUACGUG